GGAGGGGCCUGCGUCCCAUCAGCUUGUUGGUGAGGUAAUGGCUUACCAAGGCUAUGACGGGUAGGGGACCUGAGAGGGUGACCCCCCACAAUGGAACUGAAACACGGUCCAUACACCUACGGGUGGCAGCAGUAGGGAAUAUUGGUAAUGGGCGAAAGCCUGAACCAGCAACGCCGCGUGUGCGAAGAAGGCCUUCGGGUUGUAAAGCACUUUUUAAGGGGAUGAGGAAGGACAGUACCCUUAGAAUAAGCCUCGGCUAACUACGUGCCAGCAGCCGCGGUAACACGUAGGAGGCAAGCGUUAUUCGGAUUUACUGGGCGUAAAGCGCGUGCAGGCGGUUUGGUAAGUUGGAUGUGAAAGCUCCCGGCCUAACUGGGAGAGGUCGUUCAAUACUACCAGACUAGAGGAUGGGAGAGGGAGGUGGAAUUCCGGGUGUAGUGGUGAAAUGCGUAGAUAUCCGGAGGAACACCAGUGGCGAAAGCGGCCUCCUGGCCCAUUUCUGACGCUCAGACGCGAAAGCUAGGGUAGCAAACGGGAUUAGAGACCCCGGUAGUCCUAGCUGUAAACGAUGUGAACUUGGCGUCGGCGGGUUUAAAUCCGUCGGUGCCGAAGCUAACGCGAUAA
rnacentral:rRNA from 1 species